CAGCAGCCGCCGCGGUAAUACGUAGGGCGCAAGCGUUGUCCGGAAUUAUUGGGCGUAAAGGGCUCGCAGGCGGUUUCUUAAGUCUGAUGUGAAAGCCCCCGGCUCAACCGGGGAGGGUCAUUGGAAACUGGGAAACUUGAGUGCAGAAGAGGAGAGUGGAAUUCCACGUGUAGCGGUGAAAUGCGUAGAGAUGUGGAGGAACACCAGUGGCGAAGGCGACUCUCUGGUCUGUAACUGACGCUGAGGAGCGAAAGCGUGGGGAGCGAACAGGAUUAGAUACCCGUGUAGUCCCUGUCUCUUAUGC
rnacentral:rRNA from 1 species